AGUGAACGUUGGCGGCGUGGAUUAGGCAUGCAAGUCGAGCGCGAAACGUAGCAAUACGUGGAAAGCGGCGAAAGGGAGAGUAAUACAUAGGUACGUACCCUUGGACCUGGGAUAGCGGCGGGAAACUGCCGGUAAUACCAGAUAAUGUCUCCGGACCAAAGGCGUGAUUCCGUCUGAGGAGCGGCCUAUGUCCUAUUAGCUAGUUGGUAAGGUAACGGCUUACCAAGGCAAAGAUGGGUAUGGGGUGUGAGAGCAUGCCCCCACUCACUGGGACUGAGACACUGCCCAGACACCUACGGGUGGCUGCAGUCGAGAAUCUUCGGCAUGGACGCAAGUCUGACCGAGCGACGCCGCGUGCGGGAUGAAGGCCUUCGGGUUGUAAACCGCUGUCGUAGGGGAGGAAAUGCAGGUGGGUACUCCCAUCUGCUUGACUGAUCCUAGGAGGAAGGACCGGCUAAUCUCGUGCCAGCCGCCGCGGUAAAAC
rnacentral:rRNA from 1 species